rnacentral:tRNA from 3 species
GGGCGAUUAGCUCAGCGGUAGAGCACUUCAUUGACAUUGAAGGGGUCACAAGUUCGAUCCUUGUAUCGCCCACCA